ACCCUGCUUACGAGUCCAAAACAGGACGAAAGAGCUGUCCAGGGC
rnacentral:hammerhead_ribozyme from 1 species